AAAAGUACGGGAGGAGAAGCUUGUUUUUAAUCUUUAUUUCUAGGGAGAGGGAGGAAAGUGCAAGUUAGAAGUUUGGAAUUAGGUGUUGGAAGUAUGAGAUGUCUGUUUCAUAUCGAAAUAAAGAUGUAAAUUGUAGUUUGACAUUUAGGUCUGUAUGUUGAGGGGAGUUAUGUGGGCUGAGAUAUAGAUGUGGAAGCCUCCAGCAUAUAGGUGGUCCGUAUGACCAUGAGACAGGAAGUGAUGGCCCAGAGAGUGGGUGUAGAUAUACACUCACCAGAGAAGAGGAGAUCUCAGGAUGGAGUCUGGAGGCACUGCCCACAUUUAGAGAUCAGGUUGAUGAGUAAGAAACAGCAGGAAAGCCUGGGAGGAAGUGGCCACGGUGUUGGAGGAAUGCAGGUAUAUGUGAAGUUCCACAAGCAAAAGAACGUUUUCCAAGAAGGAGGGAAUCAUCUACUCUGUCAGGUGCUGCUGAUGUGACCUUCUCCAAGAAGACACCUCUAGACUGAGAGAUCCAAUUUCCCCUUGUAGCUCUGACACCACUCAUGGAAUAUCAACACUAAAUCCAAAUUUCAUCCACAGCCAUUAUGUGGCCAUUUAUGUCUAUAGAGGUGCUUCACUGUGAAGUCCUAAGCCUGUUCCUUUGGAGACUACCAUGACUUUCACUUAUUUUCUCCCAGGAUGGAGUUUGAGGCAAAGGGCUUCAUGGCCCUGAGCUUCUGGAAUGCCACCAGAAUGGAUUAAGGACUAUGGAUGUAUGUGGAGGGUUGGAGGGUAGUUUAAAGAUCAGAUAAGAAAUAGGGAGGCAGAUUGUGGGAAAUGAGGCUCCCAUUCAACUCAUGGGAAGCUACUGACUGAAAGAUGAUACAAUAUAAAAACUUGACAUUAGAAGUUGCCCUAUCCUUUUUCUAUAAGUUCGUUCAUGAUCAUCUAACAGAAUGAGAAUGUUCUCUAUCUGAUAAUGGACAAUACUUGCAUGGCUGUCCAGAUCCAGUGGUGUGACAUUGAGAAUUUGAACAUACAUAUAGUUAAAAAUACUAAAAUUCCUUUAAAUUUUCUUUCUUAGAAUGAAUGAUCAGAAUUGAGGUUUCUAGGUCAAUAGCUAUUGAUUUUGUUUGUGGUUCUUAAUAUAUGACUACACUGUUUUCAAAUAGACUAUCCUGUACCAAUACACUUAGCCCUCCAUGAGCAUCAUCUAAGGCUUAUGUUGCCAGAUUGGUAUUUAAAAUACAAUUUAAAUUCUUGCCUGUAAGCACUGAAUUGGAGACUGAUUAUUUAACUGGCCAUCUGCUAAGUCUGGAUAAAAGCACAUGAUGAAUCCCUUCAUGGAUGGUCUAGUCUAAAAGCCACAAUAGAGCAUGUAGCUUCCUUCUGGGGGUGGUGCUCUCUGCAUAUGUGGCUACUGGACCAGCCUAGGGGUCUUCUAUCUUCCCUGUAAAUAGAUCCCUAGCUUCUAGGUAUCACUGGUGGCCACUCUCUGGAAAGCUCCUUUCUACUGUCACUCCCACUCAUUGCCUAAGUCCUUGGUUAUUUCCUUGGUGACUGCAGAAGAAACUCUUCACUUAAGAGAGUAUCAAUUAUCUAUUGCUAUGAGUUUCCCAGAAACUCAGUGACUUGAAACAAACAAAAGCAUUUAUUUAAUUCAUGAGUUCAUGGGCCAGUGGUCUAAUAUGGUUGCUUAUUCUGGUCUCUAUUAAACUUGCUCACAUGUGGCAGUUAGUUGGCCAUUAGCUGGGGGUGAUUGAGCAACUGGGCCACUUCCGUUCUCUAGCAGAUUUUCAUAGGUCUGUUUUGCCUGCAAGGAAAAUGUAUACAAUGUAAGUGGAACUUAGUAAGAAUUUUGGUGGCUGGGAGAGUUGUAAACUGGCAUUGAGGCCUCUGUGUGGUUGAUAAACAAUUGAUGUCUGUGUUUCAAGGGGAUCUUUUCAUAUAGUCCAUUAAAAGUCUAGACCCUGGAGUCAGAGUCCCUGCAUUCAAAUAAUAGCUCACUAGUUGCUAACUGUGUGUCCUGGGCCACAUUAUUUAAGCCUUCUGUGCUUUAGUUUCAUCACUUGUUGUUUAGGGAUAAUACUCCAUCCUACCAUAUUGGGCUGUUGUGAAGUUUCAAUUAAUGAAUAUAUGUAAUUUGUUCCCAUAAAAAUGUUAAGAAGCUUUUAUCUCUAAAAUAUUCUUCCUCUAGGUCACUUGGUUUCCUCAGAGAUCUGACUACUGGGAAACUCAACUCCAUUUCUGUUGAUUUCAGCAGGAUCCUUCAACUUGCUGCUUUUGAUGUCCCUCCAGGGCUCACUCUGCUGGGUGGCUCUCCUCAUUCAGACAUUCUUUUGUGUGGAGUCCUUUUCAAGGUGCCCACGGCCGGUUUCCCCUCACAGAGUCACAUCUGUGCCCUGUCACAGUACUUUGGGAAGCUCCUAUCUGGCCCUCCUGUCAGUGAAAAUACAGUGUUCUUUCUUUGUUCUAUCAUUAAGCAGACCAUUCUAGCUGGCCUAUUUUUCUUUCCCUUUUCCAGGAGAGCCACCUAAGACCGUGACUUUUUCUCUUUAAUCUUUGUGCUAAGCCUGAUCCCAGAGCAAGUCAAAGAUACCAGGCGAAGACAGUGGAGGAGAUGGAGUGAGGGAAAGAGAAGAGCCAGGCCAGCUGCCAGGUCUUCUGUACAGGCCCCAUAGCCCAAUUCAGGCCUAAGCUGGGAAGAGGAGACAAACUUUAUAUGGGAUCAAAGUUUGGAUCUUUGAUGUCACACUGCAUUGGACUUUAAAAAUGUAUUUCAGGGGUGCCUGGGAGGCUCAGUUGGUUAACUGUCUGCCUUCAGCUCAGGU